rnacentral:rRNA from 1 species
CCAAUAGCGUAUAUUAAAGUUGUUGCAGUUAAAAAGCUCGUAGUUGAACUUCGGGGUUUACCCAUUGGUCAGGCUUAAUUGUCUGUACUGGUGAGAUGAAUCUCUACCUUCUGAAGAACUUUCAUGCCAUUUAUUUGGUGUGAUUGGAAAUCAGGACUGUUACUUUGAAAAAAUUAGAGUGUUUAAAGCAGGCUAACGUCUGAAUACAUUAGCAUGGAAUAAUGAAAUAGGACGGACUGAUUCUAUUUCGUUGGUUUCUAGGAUCACCGUAAUGAUUAAUAGGGAUAGUUGGGGGCAUUAGUAUUCAAUUGUCAGAGGUGAAAUUCUUGGAUUUAUUGAAGACUAACUACUGCGAAAGCAUUUGCCAAGGAUGUUUUCAUUAAUCAAGAACGAAAGUUAGGGGAUCGAAGACGAUCAGAUACCGUCGUAGUCUUAACCAUAAACUAUGCCGACUAGGGAUCGGACGAAGUUAAUUUUAUAAUGACGCGUUCGGCACCUUACG